AUGAAGAUCUUGCCGGGGGAGACCGCUUCAACCUUUACUCCGGUCGCCGGAGCGUCGCAGUCAGCGUGCUGCAACCAGAGCUCGAGGGGUCCCCUCGGUUUCAUCACAUCGGAGAAGAACCGCGGGAAGCGGAUCCAAGAGCUUGGGGGCAUCGCCGCCCAUAGCACGAGCUCGCGCGAGGAGUCCGUCGCAUGGACUCCAGGAGCGACGGCGCGUGUCACCACGGCACGUCGACCAUGGCCGCGGUGCGCGCGUCGACGCCCGUCGUUCCUUCCUCCUAAGCCCCUGGCUUGGGCGUACAGGGGCAGCGGAUACCCGGGAGGAGGCCGCUCGCACCAAGGCCUCGUCACCACCUGCAUCACCGCUGCGUCGCGGCGGUGA
rnacentral:rRNA from 1 species